GUCCCUGUAGCGCAAUACAUAGCGCGUUGGAUUUAUAAUCCAAAGGUCGUGGUUUCGAAUCCUACCUGGGAUG